AGAGUUUGAUCCUGGCUCAGAACGAACGCUGGCAGCGUGGAUUAGGCAUGCAAGCCGAACGGGAUCCGGGUUUAUAGCAAUAUAGAUCUGGUGAGAGUGGCGGAAGGGCGAGGAACGCGUGGGUAACCUGCCUCUAAGUUUGGGAUAACUCCCCGAAAGGGGUGCUAAUACCGGAUGUGGUCGGGCCUGCACAAGCAGGUUCGAUCAAAGACGGGGAUUCUUCGGAACCUGUCGCUUGGAGAGGGGCCCGCGUCCCAUCAGCUAGUUGGUGAGGUAAUGGCCCACCAAGGCUUACGGGUAGCUGGUCUGAGAGGAUGGUCAGCCGCACUGGGACUGAGACACUGCCCAGACUCCUACGGGAGGCUGCAGUCGAGGAUCAUUCGCAAUGGGCGCAAGCCUGACGAUGCGACGCUGCGUGGAGGAUGAAGGCCUUCGGGUCGUAAACUCCUGUCAUGUGGGAAAAACGGCGGCCGGAUUAAUACCCCGGUCGCGUGAUGGUACCGCAAGAGGAAGCCACGGCUAACUCUGUGCCAGCAGCCGCGGUAAUACAGAGGUGGCGAGCGUUGUUCGGAUUUACUGGGCGUAAAGGGUGCGUAGGCGGACUCGUAUGUCGGGUGUGAAAUCCCACAGCUCAACUGUGGACGGUCAUCCGAAACUGCGAGACUAGAGUACGGGACGGGAGAGCGGAAUUCUUGGUGUAGCGGUGAAAUGCGUUGAUAUCAAGAGGAACACCGGUGGCGAAGGCGGCUCUCUGGAACGUUACUGACGCUGA
rnacentral:rRNA from 1 species